rnacentral:rRNA from 1 species
UACGGAGGAUGCGAGCGUUAUCCGGAUUUAUUGGGUUUAAAGGGUGCGUAGGCGGGCUGUUAAGUCAGCGGUAAAAGCCCGGGGCCCAACCCCGGCGAGCCGUUGAAACUGGCUGUCUUGAGAUGUCGAGAGGUAUGCGGAAUGCGCAGUGUAGCGGUGAAAUGCUUAGAUAUUGCGCAGAACUCCGAUUGCGAAGGCAGCAUACCGGCGGCGAUCUGACGCUGAGGCACGAAGGCGUGGGUAUCGAACAGG